CAAGGUCUCCGUUGGUGAACCAGCGGAGGGAUCAUUU
rnacentral:rRNA from 1 species